GACGAACGCUGGCGGCGUGCCUAAUACAUGCAAGUCGUACGCUUCUUUUUCCACCGGAGCUUGCUCCACCGGAAAAAGAAGAGUGGCGAACGGGUGAGUAACACGUGGGUAACCUACCCAUCAGAAGGGGAUAACACUUGGAAACAGGUGCUAAUACCGUAUAACAAUCGAAACCGCAUGGUUUUGAUUUGAAAGGCGCUUUCGGGUGUCGCUGAUGGAUGGACCCGCGGUGCAUUAGCUAGUUGGUGAGGUAACGGCUCACCAAGGCUACGAUGCAUAGCCGACCUGAGAGGGUGAUCGGCCACAUUGGGACUGAGACACGGCCCAAACUCCUACGGGAGGCAGCAGUAGGGAAUCUUCGGCAAUGGACGAAAGUCUGACCGAGCAACGCCGCGUGAGUGAAGAAGGUUUUCGGAUCGUAAAACUCUGUUGUUAGAGAAGAACAAGGAUGAGAGUAACUGUUCAUCCCUUGACGGUAUCUAACCAGAAAGCCACGGCUAACUACGUGCCAGCAGCCGCGGUAAUACGUAGGUGGCAAGCGUUGUCCGGAUUUAUUGGGCGUAAAGCGAGCGCAGGCGGUUUCUUAAGUCUGAUGUGAAAGCCCCCGGCUCAACCGGGGAGGGUCAUUGGAAACUGGGAGACUUGAGUGCAGAAGAGGAGAGUGGAAUUCCAUGUGUAGCGGUGAAAUGCGUAGAUAUAUGGAGGAACACCAGUGGCGAAGGCGGCUCUCUGGUCUGUAACUGACGCUGAGGCUCGAAAGCGUGGGGAGCAAACAGGAUUAGAUACCCUGGUAGUCCACGCCGUAAACGAUGAGUGCUAAGUGUUGGAGGGUUUCCGCCCUUCAGUGCUGCAGCUAACGCAUUAAGCACUCCGCCUGGGGAGUACGACCGCAAGGUUGAAACUCAAAGGAAUUGACGGGGGCCCGCACAAGCGGUGGAGCAUGUGGUUUAAUUCGAAGCAACGCGAAGAACCUUACCAGGUCUUGACAUCCUUUGACCACUCUAGAGAUAGAGCUUCCCCUUCGGGGGCAAAGUGACAGGUGGUGCAUGGUUGUCGUCAGCUCGUGUCGUGAGAUGUUGGGUUAAGUCCCGCAACGAGCGCAACCCUUAUUGUUAGUUGCCAUCAUUCAGUUGGGCACUCUAGCAAGACUGCCGGUGACAAACCGGAGGAAGGUGGGGAUGACGUCAAAUCAUCAUGCCCCUUAUGACCUGGGCUACACACGUGCUACAAUGGGAAGUACAACGAGUCGCGAAGUCGCGAGGCUAAGCUAAUCUCUUAAAGUUUCUCUCAGUUCGGAUUGUAGGCUGCAACUCGCCUACAUGAAGCCGGAAUCGCUAGUAAUCGCGGAUCAGCACGCCGCGGUGAAUACGUUCCCGGGCCUUGUACACACCGCCCGUCACACCACGAGAGUUUGUAACACCCGAAGUCGGUGAGGUAACCUUUUGGAGCCAGCCGCCUAAGGUGGGAUAGAUGAUUGGGGUG
rnacentral:rRNA from 1 species